rnacentral:lncRNA from 1 species
AGGGUUUAGUAUUUUGGUAACAGUGUUAACAAUGUUAAAAAAAAUCAUUUUUUUUUUGCACUUGCUAUUAUUUUUUAUUUAUUUAUACUUAAAAAAAUAUAAUAUGACUUACUAAUUUUUUUUUUUUUCAAAAAAUGAAUAUUUUGAUGGCAAACUACUAUUUGUUUGGUGAACCCAAGAAAAACUAUUACUCAAAGAUGUCUCUACACGUUAGAAAUAGAUAUGGGAAAUGAGAGGUUGUUGCUAGAAAUGAUCUCAUGUGCCAAUAUAUCAGCUGCCUUAUAAGCACCAACGUGGAGAAUAUGAUUGUUGGGAAUGCCAAUAAUCUUCUUACAUAGAGAGACACAUUACGUCUUUCUCUUACCUUUAGAGACACA